UGGAGAGCCAGACCACGUGGAGGGCAAGCGUGAAGGGAGCAGCAGCAGCGUGGAGGUGAAGAGCUGUGGAGCAGGAGGCCUGUGGGCCAGAGAUUCCCCACCACUGAGCUCAACUGAACCACAGAAAGCAGUGAACAACGGGAACAGACACUGACCUAGAUGAAUUUCACUUUUGCCCCAGAUUUUUCAUGAAAGUCAUUGUUUGCGGCCAGGAAAAUUGGAAUUGGUACAGGAUUUCUCCUGUUGAGCUCAAACUUUCUUAGUUUUGACCUACUUUCCCCAACAUCAUAGCCUACUCCCACCUUAAACACAGAUAAGAAGAACUUUACAUUUGUACUGCUUUCACUGCCACUUCAAGGGAGAUCACACAACUGCUGAUUCUCUGUCCCUAAUGAUGAGAGGAAAGCUGAGACUACCACUCACUUUGCAAAAUAACGCAAGGAUUAUUCUGCUUUGAUAAGGACUAUCCAACUAUUUCUGCCCUGGAAACAUUUCUGGUUCUGAAGUACAGAAGCGCACUGUCCUAGGAUGCUUCUAGUGGAUCUUCCAGUGGCAACUGAACUCUAAACUAUCAUCAGAGAUAUGUAUAUCACCUACAGAAGGAGAGGUUGCUGCUGUGCCAAAAAUGACCCCUGCAUUUUUUCCUACCAUUCUCCAUCAAUUAUUGAGAAAAGAAAUUGCAUUUGAAAAUUAUCAAAGGGGUAGAGCCUUCCCAGGUGUCCAAGUGUCAAUCAAAGCCCAGAGGAAGGUAUCACCAGAAAACUCCCAUGGGGCUUUUUCAAAUCAGGAAGGGUGGGCAGUUGGACUGGCUGCAGAACAUUGGAGGAAUGCUUAUUGGAAAGAAAGGCAUACCCACACCCUCAGCCACCUCACAACAAUAAGGACAUACGGAGAUGAAUGAGCUCUUACAACACGUCGAAGUGAAAGAAAACAUUUCUUUCUGCGCCAGAGCAGAUGAGAUUCAUCAUUAAGAGAAUGGAUUUGACCUUGUCAAGUGGACUAAAGUAAUUUAUAAACAACGCCUUUGGAGGAGACUACUUUCAACUGAGUCUGAGCUAGCAGGUUUUUAGCUAGGCCCAUGGCUACUUUAUGAUAACUGUAGCUGUAGAUGUACAAGCAAGAUAAUAAUAUAUGCCUGCAAUAAUAUAUGGCGCUGCUCAAUGGUACCUUUGAUUACAACUCCCACAGAGACUUUCAGAAUGAGAAUCCCCAAGCAGCAGUGAGAUAGGUCUCAGUGCUAGAGAAUUCACAAGUAACUUGGAAAGCAGGUGCAGGAGCAUCUCAGUGAGACAAAUCUCACUGCUAGUGCCACAGCACAAAUCUUGCUUCCAAGCUGCAGAUGAGACUUUUGCACUUAGUGUGAAGGGUAGGGUUGCCAUAUCUCUUUGUCCAGCAGGGCUGUUGUGCCUUUAACAGCUGCAAGGUACACAUUCCAAAAAAUGAAGAAGUUCCCCUCACUGUAAAUCUCCAUGCUAGGGGAAAAAAAUCACCUGUUGAAUUUCUGCCUGACACAGCAACUCUGUUAGAAAAAAAAGUCAGGAUCCCCUGAAACUGGGGAACCCUUAGAAACCUGUCUGGGCUUAAUAUCAUAUUCUGAAGCUCACCUCAUGGGCCCACAAUGACAAAGUGUUAGAUUAGUGUUGGGCACUAGGACAGGGCCUUUUCAGUGGUGGCCAAUAGUAGCCUAGGUGCUGGAGCCACAAAGCCACCUCCAUCCUGACACUGGCAUUGCUGCAGUUUAUUUGGAUGGGGCUGGGGCUGUUGGGCUUAAAUGAGAUAGAAACAGUUUAGUAGUUCUGUCUCUUAGCAGCAGGGCCAGCGUGCACAUGCCUACCAUCAACCAAGAUGGCAGCGGGGCAUCAGCCCCUUAGGGAAGCCUCGGCCACCAUCUUGGUUGAUGGCAGGCAGGCUCCCGCAGCUUGGCCAGCAUUUACCUCAAGGGAAAGGUAGGGGAGUGUGCAAGCAGGUGUUGCUGGCGUGUACGGUAGUAUGGGGGGUGUCUGGGAGCUCCUUCACUGCGAUUCAUGGCAGGGUCGGAAGCCAACUCUGCCAUGGAUCAUGGAAGGGAGCAUUACCCACCCACCCUAAGGAGGAGCCCUUCAGGGCCCCCAAAGCCAGGGCCUGACCUGGCCACCCUCUGGCACCAGCCCUGCUUAGCAGAGUAUCUUUAGUAAAAUGGAAUGAGAAUUAAGCAGCCCACAUUCACCUCAUACAGACUAGCUGAAUAAAGCACAGAGACAGUCUUCUUUUGGUAAAAGUAUUAAAAUGUUUACUCAUGAUAUUCCAUAUGUUCAGGAAACAUAGGGUCUAGCUUGGAGAGAAAAGACAGAAGUAGGGAGUAGAUUUUAGUCCAUGAUUGGGAUGUUCCAGGAGGCUUCUCUUUCCUGUGGCUUAAUGGAGGAUAUACAGGGAAGAAAACAACAACUCUUAACAAAGAAGAGGAAAUAGCACUUGGUCAACACGAAGUUACAUCACAUCUGGCUUAGAAGGGACCUCUCCCUACUAAAGCAUGCAUGCUUGCUUAUCCCAAAAGGGGCAAGGCAGGAUGGCAGUGAGUUCAGGACUGAGUGAAUUCACUGGGAGGAGUGUUGGAUUAGCCCCAUUGAUGCACUUGCUCUAUUCAGCCUUGCUUCCACUCUGUCCUGCCCCAGUCAUAUCCUGAUAAGCUACAGUGCUGCCAGUAUCAGGAGGGCACUGUCAUGGCUCUGCCCCAUCAUAUGGCCCCAUACCUAUGGUACUCCCUCCCUAAAUAGGUAUGGUCCUACACUAAUGACUUUCAAAUGGGCCCUGAAGACUUUUUUUCCUUCCACAGUGCUUUUACUUGAUCUUUUAAGAUCUGCAUUUGACUGCUGCUGUUUUAAACACUGUGUGUUCUGACUCUUUUUGUAUUCCUACUGUUUCUCUGCUGACAUUGUUCAUCUGCUAUUCUUAUGACGUUUUAGUUGUUUUAUGGCAGGGGUAGUCAACAUGGUGUCUUCCAGAUGUUGUUGGACUCCAAUUUGCAUCAGCUCCAGCCAGCAUGGCCAAAGAUCAGGGUUGAAAGGAAUUGUAUUCCAGCAACAUUUGGAAGGGCACCACACUGAGUACCCUUGCAGAUUGCAUUUUAUGGUUUGCAAUACGCUAUAAAUGAAUGUUAUGCUUUUAAUAUGUUGCCAGCCCAAUUCAUCAAUGGUGGCCUAUAUAUUAUGAAAUUAAACAGA